UGUCCCGGUAGCUCAAUUGGAUAGAGCAUCCCCCUCCUAAGGGGAAGGUUGGAGGUUCGACCCCUCUCCGGGACGCCAU
rnacentral:tRNA from 1 species